UACGAAGGGGGCUAGCGUUGCUCGGAAUCACUGGGCGUAAAGGGUGCGUAGGCGGGUUUUUAAGUCAGGGGUGAAAUCCUGGAGCUCAACUCCAGAACUGCCUUUGAUACUGAGGAUCUCGAGUUCGGGAGAGGUGAGUGGAACUGCGAGUGUAGAGGUGAAAUUCGUAGAUAUUCGCAAGAACACCAGUGGCGAAGGCGGCUCACUGGCCCGAUACUGACGCUGAGGUGCGAAAGCGUGGGGAGCAAACAGG
rnacentral:rRNA from 1 species